rnacentral:snoRNA from 1 species
CACACUGAUGAGGUAAAUUUGCGAUUGAUUCUGGCCGGUGGCUCUCUCGCCGGAGAUGCUAAAUCGGCCAGACAAGUGAUAUUCAAUUCUUACAUAUUCUGACA